AACGCGAAGAACCUUACCCAGGUUUGACAUCCUCGGAAUUUCUCCGAAAGGAGAAAGUGCUUUAUUGAGCCGAGUGACAGGUGCUGCAUGGCCGUCGUCAGCUCGUGUCGUGAGAUGUUUGGUUAAGUCCAUCAACGAGCGCAACCCUUAUGUUUAGUUGAAUUUUUCUAAACAGACUGCCCUGGUAACAGGGAGGAAGGAGGGGAUGAUGUCAGGUCAGUAUUGCCCUUACACCUGGGGCUACAAACACGCUACAAUGGCCGGUACAAAGGGCAGCCAAGUCGCGAGACGGAGCAAAUCCCAUCAAAGCCGGUCUCAGUUCGGAUUGCAGGCUGAAACUCGCCUGCAUGAAGCCGGAAUCGCUAGUAAUGGUAGGUCAGCUAUACUACCGUGAAUACGUUCCCGGGCCUUGUACACACCGAGUAUA
rnacentral:rRNA from 1 species